rnacentral:sRNA from 1 species
UUGUUGUUUCUUCUUCUUCUUCUUUUUUCUUC